rnacentral:lncRNA from 1 species
UUAUAAAUUCAGCUUUGGUGAGCAUAAAAGACUUAUUUAAAAAACAUUAAAAGACCCAAGUCUUUUGAACCAUAGUUUCAUAAAUCAUUGCUAGUGUUAAGUUCCAUUAAAAUAAAUAAUUUAAAUUAAAACAGUUUGACAAGAAUCAUAAUUGUCCGUUAUUUGCCUUGUUAUUGUGAUUGCAAUUUACAAUAUUUUACAGAAUUUGUGUUGUGUAGGGCAGCUGCAUUCUUGCAGGCAAGAUAUUUAAAACAAUCUUAAGUAUGUUCCUGGAUAUUAUUAUUAAUAGUUUUUGCUUGUGUUUGGUGAUGUACCAAAGAAAGUGAAACAAGCAUUUGUGGAUCAGAUGUGUAAAACUCGCUGUUGUUUCCUAUAAGCCUAUAGACUAAUUUAAUUGCCUAGGACUGGCCAUUGCAUUCACAUGUUUGGACAUGUCAGGUAUUGUAUUCUGGGAAAUUAAAUGUUCUUCCAGCGUCAUCUGUUCAUAAGACCUAUAAACCUUCAAACCUCAAGGCUUUUUAAGUGUGUUUUUUUUUUUUUUUUCAGAACAAGACUUUGUUGUGCAAACACCAUUAUGAAUUUCUUAGUUAAGUUGCAAUUCCUAAACGUUUUUACUGCCUAAUGGCCAGUAGUUAUUUAUUUAUUUAUUUAUUUAAGCUACUUGCCAAAGCCAAUUUUUCCCCUAUUUGGCUGUGUUAAUUUUUUAUCCUCUUGUUGAGCUACGUCAGGUCAUCUUGAUUUCUGGUGUCUUUCAUUAGUUCCAACUCCCUUUUCUCAUUAACACUGAUUGAUACAUGGCCUGAGGAACAAUAGUUUGGUGAAUGUGGAGUGAAUGAGUGUGUGCAUGUGCCUUUGGUGUAUUUCUGAGGUGGGGUCAGUACAGAGAUAAUGGGUGCUGAGAGCCGACCUAGAAGAGAGUGAGUGAGUGAAUGAGUGCCCGCUCAUGUCACAUGGCUGAAACAGCCCUUGCUGCUGUAAUGGAUUUCAUGACAUCAGGUUUUUGCUGUCCAUCACUGCGCAUUUAAAGACCUGUGCCACAAUGUCAAUCAUGCGGAAAUCAUAUUUCUGCAUGCAGGGCCGCUAAACAGGAGACUUUACCAUUGUACACUACUAACUCCUAAGAAAACAACUCUCCAGAAAGGAAAGAAAGAAAUUAAAUUAGGCCUUAAACAAAGGAUAAAUCUGCCAGUAAUUGCCUAAAUUUUUUUUUCAUUUUUUAAAUACCAGAGUCCCCAUGGUUUUAUAAAACCUGGAUAUAUAAGGGAAUUUCUAAAGUAUGAUUUUAAGGCAUGGAAAAGUUAUGGAAUUCAUUAGUCGUGAAAGGUCAUGGAAGAUUUGUUAAUGUUAUGUCUUUCUUAGUCCAAUAGUUUUUUUUAAAGACCCUUAAAAGUCAUUCCAAAAAGAAAAAUAAGAAAUAACAUGAUAAAUUUAGGGAGGUUAAUGUUUAAAACAAGUGAUAAAUCUGCAAGUAUUGUUUAUCAACAUAUGUGCUACAUCAGAUCUAUAUGUUUCAAAAUUAUAAAAUGCUUAUUUUGGGCAGGUUUGAUUU